rnacentral:rRNA from 1 species
AAGCAAUCUAUACAGUGAAACUGCGAAUGGCUCAUUAAAUCAGUUAUCGUUUAUUUGAUAGUACCUUACUACUUGGAUAACCGUGGUAAUUCUAGAGCUAAUACAUGCUAAAAAUCCCGACCCCUGGAAGGGAUGUAUUUAUUAGAUAAAAAACCAAUGCCUUCGGGCUCCUUGGUGAUUCAUGAUAACUUAACGAAUCGCAUGGCCUUGCGCCGGCGAUGGUUCAUUCAAAUUUCUGCCCUAUCAAGUUUCGAUGGUAGGAUAGUGGCCUACCAUGCUUUCAACGGGUAACGGGGAAUUAGGGUUCUAUUCCGGAGAGGGAGCCUGAGAAACGGCUACCACAUCCAAGGAAGGCAGCAGGCGCGCAAAUUACCCAAUCCCGACACGGGGAGGUAGUGACAAUAAAUACUGAUACAGGGCUCUUUGUGGUCUUGUAAUUGGAAUGAGUACGAUCUAAAAACUCUAACGAGGAACAAUUGGAGGGCAAGUCUGGUGCCAGCAGCCGCGGUAAUUCCAGCUCCAAUAGCGUAUAUUAAAGUUGUUGCAGUUAAAAAGCUCGUAGUUGAACCUUGGGCCGGGGUGGUGGGUCCGCCUCACCGCGUGCACUCGCCCGCUCUGGCCUUUCCUUCUGGCAAACCCCAUGCCCUUCACUGGGUGUGGCGGGGAACCAGGACUUUUACUUUGAAAAAAUUAGAGUGUUCAAAGCAGGCAUAUGCUCGAAUACAUUAGCAUGGAAUAAUAGAAUAGGACGUGUGGUUCUAUUUUGUUGGUUUCUAGGACCACCGUAAUGAUUAAUAGGGAUAGUCGGGGGCAUCCGUAUUCAACUGUCAGAGGUGAAAUUCUUGGAUUUGUUGAAGACGAACUACUGCGAAAGCAUUUGCCAAGGAUGUUUUCAUUAAUCAGGAACGAAAGUUGAGGGAUCGAAGACGAUCAGAUACCGUCGUAGUCUCAACCAUAAACUAUGCCGACUAGGGGCCGGGCGACGUUCUUAUUUUGACCCGCUCGGAACCUUACGAGAAAUCAAAGUCUUUGGGUUCUGGGGGAGU